rnacentral:rRNA from 1 species
UACGUAGGGUGCGAGCGUUGUCCGGAAUUAUUGGGCGUAAAGAGCUCGUAGGCGGUCUGUCGCGUCGAUCGUGAAAACUUGGGGCUUAACCCUGAGCUUGCGGUCGAUACUGGGCGGCUAGAGUCUGGUAGGGGGAUCUGGAAUUCCUGGUGUAGCGGUGGAAUGCGCAGAUAUCAGGAGGAACACCGGUGGCGAAGGCGGGAUCCUGGGCCGAUACUGACGCUGAGGAGCGAAAGCGUGGGGAGCGAACAGG